UUUAUAGAUGUGAAUGAAAGAUUAAAUAGGAAGAUGAUAAGCUCAAUACUUGGCACGAAUAAAAUUCUCAAUCUCAACUCGGUCAUAGUUUGGAGGCAGUUUGGCUUCCCAGUAGCUAUUUGCCUUCUCAUUUCCCAUUGCUUUACAUCCAGAACCCGACGAAGAAUUAAAAAACUUGGAUCAGUUUCAUACAAAAGAGUCAGACGGCUCAUUUUUCACAAUCUUUGGCAGAUAUGAUGACAGCAAAAAUAUAAAUGAAUGUAAAAAAGAGGCCAAGACACUCACUUUGAAUAAAAGCAACCUGCUCUGGUAGCCAAGUGUCCAAUGUUGCUGACCUUACCUGUAUUAGAAGUAAGCUACUAAUAACAUACAGUUAAAUUAAGCACAAACUCUGCAUCUUCACAUUCUCAAACAUGUUUUUACUGAUAAAAUAAAAUAAGCAAAGUUACCACAGUAGUUAUAAUAUCGGUGUAACGCAUUAACACUUGCUUGUGUUCAAUGUAAAAGAUUUGGAAAAUCUAUACACGAAUGAUAUUCAAAAACUUGUCAAUUUAUACUCAACAAUCAGAUCAAAUUGGACAGACAGGUCAGCUUAAUAUAAAACACUAUGUCCGCUAUAUUCACCCCAGUGGCCUAGACUACAAGCAAAAGUCUUCCUGCAGAAUAUAUUCCCAAAGUACCACUACACUUUAGUUUUGUUAACAUCAAACAGGCACACAUAGCAAGAAAGGGACGAAGAAUGUCUACUCAAAAAGAGAUAUAGAGAGGGAGAGGGAGAGAGAGAGAGAGAGGGAUGAAGAGUAAAUUGAAUACAUGAACUAAAAAGAAAACAAUGAAGAAGCAUCCAGAUAUGAAAGAAAUUGGACCUCACUAUAAGUCUAUGACCAUGAAGUUUUAUGACAUUGGCAUCUAAAAGUAUUAUAAAACCAUCAAUAACAAUGAAAAGCAAUCAAAGGCUUGUACUCUCGACCACAGAGAUAAAAACUUCUAAAUAAUGUCAACUAGUUGACCAACUGUAGCUGAAAAUCCAAUCAUGAAGAAAUUGUCAGUUUAUCUGAUUCACUAAGUCUGGUACUUUCAUGAUGUCAGCUAUAACAACAAUAACAAAGUCGUAAGUUCUAACUAUUUAGGAUCGUCUACAUGAUAGACCAGUUACAAAGAUAAUAAUUACUUACUGAAUUAAAACUCUUCUCAGAUAAUAUCUUAUGCUAGGCUGUGAUGCAAGUGGCAGAAAUUUGAAACAUCUUUAUUUGUUAAAGCAGUUGUUGCAAUAGAGAACAGAUUACAUGCUACAACUAUGACAAAUUUUAGUAAGUAAAUAUUAAUUUUUAAAUAUGCAUGCACAUUAAAUGAUUUAUUUUCAGAAUGACUUGAUUACAACAAACAAAAGGAAGAAAAUGUCAUUCAGAAUAACUUGAUUAUAUAUAUAUAUAUAUAUAUAUAUAUAUAUAUAUAUAUAUAUAUAUAUAUAUAUAUAUAUAUAUAUAUAUAUUGCCAGCCAUGACAUCACUAUAGCAAGUUUUGCAGGUUAUAUUUCUGAAGAAAACCUCUUUCUUGAAUUUUUACUGACUCUGAACAAGUAUAUGUCAAUGUGAACAAUGAAUAAAAAAGUGUAGUGUCCCAUAGAAAAAAAAAACUGACCUUUGAUAUAUGUACCCCCAAGCUUCUAUGGAUUCCAGAACAUUGCAGACAUAUAAAAAUUCCCAGAUUAACACUUGCCCAUCGUGGACCUCUGCAAAAAGAUGGUUAAACAUUAGAUUUGAAGGAAGAUUGAACAAUAACGAAAACAAAAUUUAAAUCUAUUCUGGACCAGAACAAUAAAGUAGGCUCUAACUCAAGAAAUCCUAUUACUAAAUGUUGCCCCCAUCUGGUAAUGUUUAUCCAGUCCAGCCUAUCAGGAGAUCUGCAUGUUGCCUUUGGUUUAUAAACAGAGGAUUUGGGACCUCAAAAUAAAGCAACAUAUUCUAGAAUUAUCCUUUUACAACUGGCCAGUAGCAAAUUUUAAAAAGAAAAAAAUCAAAGUAUAAAUUCUUUAUACCCAUUGCAGGAUGAUCUGUUUUAAGCUAAAAUCAAUAAGGGCAUUCUUUAUCCUCAAAAGCUCAUAAGCACAUUUAUAAGGCAAUAAUGUAUCCCAAAAUUAGAUAGAAGAAAAUCCAGUGAUGCAUGCCUUAGAUUCAAAUUCAUGAUUCAGAUUUUCUAAUUAACUAAUAAACUACAUAAGCAAAGUAAGGUAUGAUUUCAAAUGAAUUUUCUUUUAGUUACAUCUCAAAAGAAAAUUACUGUUUGGUGAGGACAUCUCCGGGAAGGCAUGCAGGUGCAAUAUUAAUUAUGUAAAUCAAGAUUCUUGAUAUUGUUUUUACCAACAACCAUCCAAGUUCAGUAUUUUAUAUUCACUUAAAACAAUUAGUUCAAAAUUUUAACUAAUUUUGGCAUUAUUCAGGUAUAUUCAAAACGUUUUAGAAUGCAAUACACUAUCUAAAAGAGACAAUUUACUAAGCCAAUGACCAAUCAGAUAAUUUUAGCACGAAAGAUGCAAGAGCACGAAAAGAAAUUAUCCUUUCAACUUCCAAGAUUUUGAAUAUUUGUACAUAAUGUUGCCAUUGUAACAUAUAUGCAAAGGUAGUUCACCCGUCAAAGCAAGAGUUGCCAACUUGGACUUUCAGCAAUAGACAUGAAUUUUUCAAUUGGUGAGACCCAAGGAAAUGAUAAGUUCACUUCAUUUUAUAGUAAUAAAUUAAUUAAUCACAAACCAAAACAAAAUUAUCAAAAGAACAUAAUAUCAAAAGAACAAAAUACAGUAAAGAAAGAUAACCCAAAAGCUCCACAAAAUCUUUCAGUUUUUCUUAUAGUUUUGGCUUCUCAGAUGGUUGCACAAAAAGCAAUGUUGCACUAAAUUGAUGGAAUUCAAUCAAGCUAAAAAAAACAGUCUCAGCUUGAAUGCUUACUUGGACUUGCAAUCAGCACAUUCCCUAUUCUCUGACAAUUUGAGAAGCCCCUCCAAUACCUACAAGUACGUCUAUCAGAACAAAUGUGACACAUAGAGAAACAAAUUUAAUAAGAAUUUAACCUCAAAAAUCUCUAUAUAGAAAUCACAAGCUCAACUAAGUUGGAAAGUGAGCUAAACUUACUUGAGGUGAAGCAAGUGACCAAUCGGUAAAAAAAUACUACAAUAGGCAAAUAAAAUCUCAAAUCGGAUAACUCAAAAGGUCAAGAAUUCACUGCAUAUGAAGUAAGUAGAUAGGAUGAGAAAAUGAAAUCCAAUAACAUCUAAAAACAAGACAAAUUUAAUAUAACAGAAAUCAAAAUUUGAAUUGUGAAAUGAUAGAUUCAGAUACCAAAUCAUAUCGUCAGGUAGGAUGAAAUAGCAUAUUCAACUUAGUAAAGAAAAUAUGUAAAGGGACGAGGGAGCUCGAAGACAGGGGAGGAGGGAAAGAUAGAUACAGUGUAAUAAAAGAAAAGGUGCUUGUUCUGGAUGAAAGAGAGCAAGCAUAUGAGGUCAACAAAUAUUUUGAUUGUUUUGCUACCCUUGCACAACUUGCUUGAAACGUUGGUCUCUAUGUGUUUUAUACAUAUUAAGUUAAAUUAGUCAUCUUGCUUGUAAACAUAGAAGAAAUUAGGCCAUAGAUCUUACGCUAAUUUUUUUGUAUCAAGAACCUUACAACAUGUGCUAACUAUUUGAGGACAGCUACAUGGACCUUUUCCACUAUUGAACUCUGUGGAGGGAGAAAAUCCUUAGUUAAAUCAUUAGCAACUAAAUAUUUUUUUAUUUCUAAUAAACUUUUCUUAGGUCUUCCUCUAGCUUCAGUUACAUUACUAAUCAUCAUUGAAACACAAAUUGCAAGCUUCUCUCAAACAUGUCCAUAUAAUUUUACAUGAUUUUUACCCAUUUCAUCAUUCAUCACAGCCACACUCAAAUCUUUUGACAAAUACAAAUAUCUAUUUAUUCUCUCUUUGCUACAAUGUCAUACAUCCAUCUCAACCACACUAACAUUUUGUGUAUAUUUUAUUUAAAUGACCACUUCUAUUCAUAAAGUAUUAAUAGUCUUACAACUGUCUUAAAAUUUAUUUAAUUUAGAUGUAUGUGAGCACAUGAUACAUUCGAUUUUCCUUUCCAUCUAACUAUUCUUCUUUCAUUUUAUGUAUAAUGUCUUUACUGAUCUAUCCAAUUUGGAGAAUCUUAGAUCCAAGAUAUUUAAACUUUUACGUGUAGGGAGAUCUACUUCUCUUCAUAUCGAUAAGAUUGAACUUCAUAUACUUUAUUCUAGUCAGCCUACAAUCUUUAGUUUCUAAUGUUAAUGAAUGUCGACAAGGCCUCUAAGGUGACAGUGGUUAAAGAGAUGGAAAAUUGCAAGUGUUUCAUCUACUGAUCCCCGUUUCCAAUCGAGACGCAAAUACUACCACAACGAGCUACAACCGAACCCUCGAUCCCAGCACCAUUGAUGAAAAUUCACACCAUUCGCAAUGGUUUCUUGCGGGCGAUUGAAAUAUCUCCCACUAGCGUUAAAUGCCCAAACAAACGAAUCAAAUUCGCCAAAAAGAGGCGAACCCAAAUCAAACCAACAAUCCGAAUCGCAUUCCAACAAAAACAACGAUCACGAAAGAUCGAAAACGUGGAGUCGUCAUCUAAUUUCCACGUUCCUCGUCUGCCGAUUCACCGAAGAACAAACGCGAACCGGAAAAUAUCAAAUCUUCAGUCGAAAUGCCGAAGAGUAACGUUCAAAAGAUCAAGAGAUUUCGGGAAAUCGAAGAAAAGUACGGACCUUUCCGUGUUUUUCAUUGAGUUCUUUCGAGACGGACGCCUUUUCGUUCAUCUUGACGCUCCCCAGUGGCCUCCCGAGACCUCCCGGGGUUCCGAGGAGGAGGAAGGAGGGCAAACAGAGCAAGAAGAACCAAUGGAUGGAUCUCGUCUAUGCUGUCUACUUAUAGCAUACCUAUUUCAUCGGAGGGAUGAAGCAACGUACGUACUCCAUUGGCCGACGCCGGAGGAAGAGAAGCUAAUCCAAGCCCACACAGACUACCCGAUCACCUACCCGGAUAACGGUGAUGGUAGUUCUGGCUCUACAGCGGGUCCCACAAUGCUGAUUCCAGUUACAUCAUAGAUCGACAAGCGGGUAAACAAGGGAGUGCUCGGAGGAAUGCGGGCCCCACGCCUGUUGAGGAAACGGUUUUUUCUAUUUUACCUUGAAAAACCAAAAAUGUUUUUACCGAAUGACUUCGCUUGCUUUUUUUUUUUAAUGUGGGGAAAUUAUUUUCCAUCAAUUUGAUAAACACUUUCGUCCUCCAUCAGUCAUUUCUGACUGUAGUCAUCAACGCCGUCCGUCAUCUCCUUCCGCUUCCUCUCUUUUCUCUUUUCUCCUCCUCCUCCUCCCCCUCGUUUCUCUCUCCUCCUCUUCCUCAUCACCUCUAUCCUACGUCUGUUGUUGGCUCCCUCACCGACCACCUCCAACGAGGGCUUUGAGUGAGGUCAAAGGGCUCCAAUCUUCAAUUAUGAGAGGAAGAGGGAGUGAUAAAGGACGACGUGGGCAAGGAGCUCCUCGUCUUUGAUCGCGAGGAAGGAGGAUAAGGCUGUUGCCGGUGGGUAGUGGAGGAGGAAGUGACGUGCUGUAACGCUCGUGGUGGAAGCAAAGGCUGACGGCGACAACGAUCGAGCCGACCGGUGAGAUUGAUGAAAAAGAGGCACCCAAGUUAAAAAUCAAUUAUGAGGACAAUCAUUGAUAAAUGUCUAAUAAUAAUAAAAUUUUAAAGGUAAAAUACAGUCUCUUUUUUUUUCACAUAUUAAGUUUUUUUAUAAAAAAAAUUAUGGGCAUAUUGAGAAUUUUUUUAUAAAGUGUUUAAUUUUUUUUAAAAAAAUUAAAUAGUAUCUCUUGUCACAUGAAAUGAGUAUUUUAUCUUUGUUUUCGUCGAAACUAUCAUCGUCUCUGUCACAUCCCUUGCACCCUCAUCGAACCUAGGGGGCAUCAUGCAUAUAGAGACACAUACGGUCAUAGGAGAAAAGGGGGGGUGUGAUUAGCCAGGCUAAUCCACGCACAGAGGUGUAAAUGGCCAUAGGAGAGGAGCAUGCGAUUUGACAGGAUCUACUUAUGUGCAAAGACAUAAACAACCAAGAGAAAAAAAGGGAUGACCAAUGGGGCUUACUUGUGCACGCUGAAGGAGUUGUCAAUGAGGCUAGCUCGCACAUGGAGGUGCAGAUAGCCAACAUGACCAAAUCCCUAUGUGCACGUAGGGGAGGGAUUGACGGAGUCAGCUUGCAUGCAAAAGCAUAAGCAACUAAGAUCGUCGACAUGACAAAGGGGGGCGAUCGACAAUAGUCGAUAGAUGUAGGAUAAAUUUUUUUUAUGCUAUCGUGAGAAUAUUUAUCACUUAUUGGUCUUUCUUACGUUUGGACAGAUAACAAAUAACAGGUUUUGUUAGGAAAAUUAUUGUUAAGCUUAGACAUGCUAAUCCAAGAUUAUCUUGGAGUUUUCAUGUAUUAAUCUCCAUAGAAUGCUGCUCGUUGACAUUUACUUUCCAGGACCAGAUUUGUCCACUUAAUUCAUAUCAGCUCUUUCCAACAUGAGUUGAGUGUCCUUUGAAUGGUUUUUUUUGCUUUUUUUUGUUUUGUUUUUUAUCUAGAAAAACAAAUCAAACGAUCUUAGUUUAAUUUUAACGUGUGUGAUUCCUGCUCUUUCUUGAGAUCACCUCCAACUCCGUCAUAUCAAGGUCAACGAUAUGACUUUACUCCAUGUUCUUAAGAUUGAUUUCUUGUCUCUGUCAUCGCAAUUUAUUGAUUCAGACAUCAACACUGCGCACUUGGAAGACUACCAAUCUUUGUGACUUGACCUUUGCCUUCGUAGGUCAUCAGUCAAUCUUGAUGCCAAGAACUCAAGAAGCUGUAGUUUGCGUUUGAUGCAAUCAACAGGAAAGCCGUCCGAGAUUUGUAUUUCUGCACACAGUUCAUAGGAAAAGUCGUUUGGAUUGUGAUGAACAGGUCCUUGACAAAGCUGCUGACACCUUCUCUGAUCCCAAACAUGAUGUCAUCACAGACAGAUGCAUGCACUUGAAGAAGAUAAAGAAAAAAGAGAAGGUCUCUUCCUCUUUCUCUCAAUGAUAUGGCUGGCAGGCUGCCAUGGGGCCAACGUUACACUGUUCGGCUCCCGUGAAGUCCUCAUUCCAGGUAGCUAUAAUUAAGCGUUCCACCUGGAAGUCACUACAUGCGUUCGGUGGCACUGCGCGGGGUGCCAAGUUUUUGGGGCCAACCUUCCGAGGAACUCUUGACCUCAUUAGGUGAACGGCUGUUUCAUCUAUACUAGGAUCAGUUUAUAAUAGUAUUAGUCUGCAUGGCUGAAGUGCAUAGUUAGUGACGACUUUUAUUCUGAUUUCAGAGUGCACGGCUGCUUAAUGACGAGUGGUCCAAGUUUAAAGGCACGCACACUGAAUCGGGACAGCCUCACCUCGGCUGCUUGACUGCAGGUAGUACAAAGAGUUCAUGGUCGUAUUAAAAGCUCCAUGGCUUGGAUAGAUAAGACGUCAGGUCAAGUUACAGUCAGUGCGAAGUGACAGCCGCCCACGGCAGUGGCAGCUGCUCCCGAGGAGAUAAAGCCGACUUAACAUAGUAGAUCGAACACGUGAUCCUUGUGCGUGUUCUUGAGACGUUUCGUGCAAGAUGAAGGUAAGUCGGUUUGGGGGAGAAAGCCUCCUCUAUAUAGAGAGCCUCUCACCUCCGAUUGCUUUCCAUCUUACGCCACUGGAAGCUCAGUUCAUUCCAGGCUCAACUCACUUGACCACAGAUAGUGUGCAGGGAGAAAAGGGUAGAAGAAGAAUGGAAGGGGGAAGGAAAGUGGUGCUAAGUGGAGAGAGGAAGUACAGUAGCCGCCGCUUGAUCCCCAGACGGGGGCAGGUGAAGGCCUCCAUCGUCAUCGGCCUCGCUCAGUCUCUGGCUGCCUUGUUCUCUCUCGCCGUCGCCCGUCUCGCUUAGAUCACGGCUACUGCUUCCUGAUGAUCUAUAUAUAGAUAUAUAUCUACAUAUAUGAGGGUGGAAAACCUUGGCUCUUCUCUUUGUAGUCAGCUCGCUAAACCCUGUUUUUCGUUGGGGUUUGAUGUAAACAUUGUGAACACAGUGAGAAUGAAGUUUUUCGUAUCAUCUUUUUGCAUCCAUUACUGCUCUCCCUUUCGUUAAUUAUUGUGAAAGCUGAGAAGUUGUGCGUCGGCAUGAACAUUUAGGUGUUCAUCGUUGCUCAUCUUCUUGUUCUGAGCUGCCUCUGCUGGUGUUAGUCCCCAAUCUGACAGACUAAUUUUUCUUGACCAAUUUUUUCUGCUAUCUCAUGAGGCGAGGAGAUGAGAGUAGCUUAAGAUCUCGGGAAUAGAUUUGGUAGUCUAGCUUAAUAGUUAUGGCGAUUUAAUUGACUGACUCAAAAAGUCUAUCCGAGCUUAGUCUUUGUUGCAAGUCAUAAUGGUUAUCUUUCUCGAUCAGAAUCGUAUUCAAUUGAUUUAGGUAUAAAUCGAUUUUUGUUCUUUCCGUAACAACAAAGAAUUGACAUUAAGAAGAAGUUUAUAUUUUUGUAAUGCAAGCUGUGAGACAAGAAGAUCUACUUUUAAGAUUGCCAUCCUUUACCACAACAAAAAGCACAAAGAUUAGUGACUUUUUAGUCACUAAUCAAUCAUACAUCGUCUAAAGCAAAGUGGGUGGAAGUCACUGAGAAGAUGCCUCCGCCGACAUGAUAAUAAAUUGUGG
rnacentral:lncRNA from 1 species